GUUUUUUUGCUUUUUUAUAAUAAAAAUCUACCCAUCAAAUAUUGCUUAUACUUCUCCCUCUCUAUAAAACUUUUACCUUCACAGCUUCUCCCUGGCUUUUCCUCACCUUUGUGUUUCCUGUUUCUACAGCAGCUCUGGAAGAUGUUCCCCCUCCUUUCAGGAAGAGUCCUUCCCUGUUCCCUUCAAUGCCCUCAGGGUCACAGCACACACAGAGCUGGAGGGAAGCAAGGUCUUGCUGCUUGGAAGGUGCUUUUCACCAUGUCAGUGCUACCCUCUGCCACUGUCUCCGUCCUGCAGCUCAGAGGGUUUCUCCAGAAAAGGGCCCUGUGUCUAGGUCUCCCACCAGAGAGGUUAUAAGGUUACAAAAUCAGACUUUCUUGAUUUUUAGUGGUUUUGGUAGUUUGACUUUUUGUUUGUUUGGUUGAUUGGCUGGAUUUGGGUUUGAUUUGUUGGCUGGUUUUUGUUUGGUUAGGGUUUUUUCACAUCUUUGGUGUGGUUUUUGCUGGGAUUUUUUUUUGUUGGGUUGUUUUUUGUUUUUGUUGGAUUUUUUGUUUGGUUUGGUUUUUUGUUCGUUUUGUUAUUUUUUUUAUGUUAGCUCCCAGCUUCAGGAAACUCAUAAUUUUGACUCAGAAGAGGAAGGCUUUCAAAGUGUCAGGUAAAAGAUGUCCCUGCUUGGAAGACUCAUCUGGGGAGGAAUGGACCUGCAGGAGCUUUGACGAUGUGACUUCAUUGCCUUCAGGCUGAAAAGGAAGCUGAACACAGAUUUCCCAUUUCCUAGGUAAGCAUUCUGCCACUAGGCUAAGAGCUGACUUUAUUUAUUUACCUACAAUUGCAGUUUCACAUUUUAUUGAUGGCACAUGUAAACAUAUAAAAUUUAUUCUCUUAAGAAUGUGCAAAGGAAUUGGAAAUGGUAUAGGUACUGGUAAAAAGUGCAUGUGACUGAUUAUUCUCAUUUUUAAAACAUGCAACUUGAAAACACUUCUUGAUCUGGGGAUAAAAAAUUCUGUUUGACUUUGGUCACCAAUCACACAGUCCAACUAUUGAGCAAGCAGUAGUUGUGGCACAGCAUUCACAAGUAAGUACACAGUCUGCAAGAUGUUCCCAUGCAUUAUUCAGUGAAUAAUUCUAAAUAAUGAAAACACUGAAAUCUGUGUGCAGAUGUAGUAUGGGGGACCAAAUUAAAUGUGUUGUUUAAUAGAAGAAGCUGACCCAGCUCUAGUGGAAACCAGCACCAGCUGUUCAGAGACCUGUGGGUCUACGUAACAUGAAUUUAUCGUUUGAUAGAAACAGUAAUCCAAGUCCAGCAAUCACUAGUGUGUGGUAGGUAUCAUUCACAGUGAUGAAGCAGCUUCCAGAAUACACACCCACAGGCUACCUUCACUGUGGAGUCACCUUCUGAGUGAUUUCCAUCUUCCAGGUCAGCUC
rnacentral:lncRNA from 1 species